UUCUUCUCUCUCUUUUCUUGUCUCUUUCUCACUCUGUUUUUGUUUUGUAUUUUUUUUCAAAAUUUACUGAGUUGAAUCUCAGCCCUUGGUCUGAUGAGUGGGACGCUUGUCGACUGCUUGUCUGUAAGAGAUCACUGUAGAGACAUUAUUCUAGAGGAUCCUUACGCAGAUUGAUGACGCGUCCAAAGAGAGUUCCGGGCCCCACCUCUCUCUCUCUCUCUCUAAAAUGUGUCCCCAUUUCUUCUUCUCCUCCUCCUCUCUCUCUCUCUCUCUCUCUGCCCUAUCGCUCUCAGUCUCGCGCACUCUCACUUCACUUCGUUUCAAAUCGCUCCGAAAAAAGCUGGUUUUGAUGGCUUGAAUUAUUCUCUGAGUGCUUCUCUUGGUGGUUCAUUGGCAACUCCAGUGCAUUGGAAUAUUUGG